GGGGGGAGCAAGCGUUGUUCGGAAUCACUGGGCGUAAAGGGCGUGUAGGCGGUCAAGUAAGUGGGAUGUGAAAUCCUUCGGCUUACCCGAAGACCUGCAUCUCAAACUGCUUGGCUUGAGUAUGGGAGAGGAUGAGGGAAUUCCUGGCGUAGCGGUGAAAUGCGUAGAUAUCAGGAGGAACACCGGUGGCGAAGGCGCUCAUCUGGCCCAAUACUGACGCUGAGGCGCGAAAGCUAGGGGAGCAAACGGGAUUAGAUACCCCGGUAGUCCUAGCCGUAAACGGUGAUCACUAGGUGUUGGAGGCAUCGACCCCUCCAGUGCCGCAGCUAACGCAUUAAGUGAUCCGCCUGGGGAGUACGGCCGCAAGGUUG
rnacentral:rRNA from 1 species